UAGCCAUGGCGUCUUCACCUCUUUCUCUCCCUCUAGUGCUAACCACAGUCAUCCUUUCGACUUGCCACCAACACGAAACUUACAGAGGAACGUAAGGAAAACCCAUUCAGAGAAUUAAAACCCAACAUUAUGGCCAUAAAUCGCCGAAUUGAUCCGUGAAACGUACAUGCACAAACAUCCAUUAAUGGCCAUGUUAAGCUCCCUUGAUCUCCCCGUACCGGCUUCCACUGCCAUUAUAAAUAGACCCCGAGGAGAGCCCUCAGCCCUAACACCUUCCAGACCCAAAAGCCCUCUCCCUCUCGUCUCAAAACCGGAGAAUUUGUCGCCGGACCCGAGCUUCGUUGUCGCCGUCCGUUGACGAUCACGUCGCCUUCGCCAGGUCGCACGAACGACGGCACCCGAGCUCCACCAUCGUUCUACCUGCAGCCGCUGCCCACGUCCUCCAGUGGACGAGAUCCACAGCGCCAAUACCCUAUCGUCUUUGUCUCAUCGUCAGGAAAGGCGACGUGAACCUCCUCGUGCACAAUCGAGCCACGCGUCGUCGCCCCGACCAACUCCGGCGACCGGACCACCUCUCCCCGAUAUUUCGUAAAGUGAAGGAGCGACGAUAACAAGUGAAGAAUCAACUUCAAGACACAGGCAAGUUGCAAUUUGAUCAUGCCCUGACCUAUAUUUUCA